CGGAAAGCCAGCUGUUGAGUCUAAAGCUCAUCAAAGUCCUUUCUGGUGUAGCUUCUUUUGUGUAAUAGCCUCUGGCUCCUUUGUGUAAUAAGCCUCAAACCCAGGGCAAGGAAGGCUGCAGAGAAGCACUAAGUUGUAUCACUAUAAUAUUGUAAAAUAUCACCCUAUUAAGCACGCUAAUUAGAAGUCUUGGGCUUCCAUAUGGAUUUGUAGUUGCUUAAGCAAGAAAGGCAGUUUUUCUUAGUGCCCCAAGACAUGUUUGAGGAGAUAAAGCAAUGACGGCUUGCAGAUCCCUUAAACAGCUGUGGGAGGAGAUGCUGGUACCUGCAGGACGAGCAGUUUCUCUCUUUAACAAGCUAGUUCUAACAGGUUGGGGUCCCAGGAGACACUCUGAGAUUCUGAGAUCUGCAUGUUGGCAGUUUGUUGGGGGUGGAGGGUUACUCUCCGGAACAAGAUGUGUGACAGGGACCCAGGAUCCCUGGAGGAGCCUACAAGACUUCUAGGAUGAUGGAGGGUGGCUGAGUGGAAGGAUCUCUGUGUCCCUCCCUAACUUCAACUCCAGCAUCUCUACUUCUCCUUCUUGGACUUCACAAGAUUCUAUACAAGCUUUUCUAUAAAGACAGUGUCACUGCUAAAAUGUAAAUAAAUUAAGAAAUUUUGGAAAUUGCUAAACUACUCCAUAUUGUCCAGAGGAGGUAUGUACCUCUCACUGCACACACAGUUUAAAUAAUCUGCUU
rnacentral:lncRNA from 1 species